AUGAACGCUGGCGGCGUGCCUAAUACAUGCCAGUCGAGCGCACAGACGAGGAGCUUGCUCCUCUGACGUUAGCGGCGGACGGGUGAGUAACACGUGGAUAACCUACCUAUAAGACUGGGAUAACUUCGGGAAACCGGAGCUAAUACCGGAUAAUAUAUUGAACCGCAUGGUUCAAUAGUGAAAGACGGUUUUGCUGUCACUUAUAGAUGGAUCCGCGUCGCAUUAGCUAGUUGGUAAGGUAACGGCUUACCAAGGCAACGAUGCGUAGCCGACCUGAGAGGGUGAUCGGCCACACUGGAACUGAGACACGGUCCAGACUCCUACGGGAGGCAGCAGUAGGGAAUCUUCCGCAAUGGGCGAAAGCCUGACGGAGCAACGCCGCGUGAGUGAUGAAGGUCUUCGGAUCGUAAAACUCUGUUAUUAGGGAAGAACAAAUGUGUAAGUAACUAUGCACGUCUUGACGGUACCUAAUCAGAAAGCCACGGCUAACUACGUG
rnacentral:rRNA from 1 species